GGGGGGGGGGGGGGGGGGGGGGGGGGGGGGGGGGGGGGGGGGGUUCCUGGUGGGUUCCUGGUGGGUUUCUGGUGGUUCUGUAGGGUUGGGAUGGGUUCUUGAUGGGUUCCUGGUGGGUUCCUGGUGGGUUCCUGGUGGGUUUCUGGUGGUUCUGUAGGGUUGGGAUGGGUUUUUGGUGGGAUCCUGGUGGGUUGUUGGUGGGUUCUUGGUGGUUCUGUAGGGUUGGGAUGGGUUGUUGGUGGGUUGUUGGUGGGUUCCUGGUGGUUCUGUAGGGUUGGGAUGGGUUCCUGGUGGGAUCCUGGUGGGUUGUUGGUGUGUUCUUGGUGGUCCUGUAGGGUUGGGAUGGGUUGUUGGUGUCUGGUGGUCCUGUAGGGUUGGGAUGGGUUCUUGAUGGGUUCCUGGUGGUUCUGUGGGGUCAGGAUGGGGUUCUUGGUGGAUUUCUGGUGGUUCUGUAGGGUUGGGAUGGGUUCCUGGUGGGAUCCUGGUGGGUUGUUGGUGUGUUCUUGGUGGUCCUGUAGGGUUGGGAUGGGUUGUUGGAUGGGAUCCUGGUGGGUUCCUGGUGGGAUCCUGGUGGUUCUGUGGGGUCAGGAUGGGGUUCUUGUGGAUUCCUGGUGGUUCUGUGGGGUCAGGAUGGGGUUCUUGGUGGUUCCUGGUGGUUCUGUGAGGUCAGGAUGGGAUCCUGGUGGGAUCCUGGUGGUUCUGUGGGGUCAGGAUGGGAUCCUGGUGGUUUUAGGGACUCCUGUGGGGCCAGGAUGUUCUGCUGACCCCGCACCUUCCCCUUGCCCUCGCCAGGACCCGUCUCUGCUCAACAACCGCGUCCUGCUGCACCACGCCAAGGGCGGCACCGUCAUCGCCCGCCAGGGGGACCAGGACGUCAGCCUGCACUUUGUGCUCUGGGGCUGCCUGCACGUGUACCAGCGCAUGAUCGACAAGGAGGAGGGUCCCACUGACCACAGACUGACCCCAGACUGACCACAACUGACUACACUGACCCAAACUGACCCCACACUGACCCCACACUGACCACACUGACCCCAGACUGACCCUAAACUGACCCCAAACUGACCCCACUGACCCCAGACUGACCACACUGACCACAGACUGACCACACUGACCCCAAACUGACCACACUGACCCCAGACUGACCACACUGACCCCAGACUGACCCCACUGACCCCAAACUGACCCCAGACUGACCACACUGACCCACACUGACCCCAAACUGACCCCAGACUGACCCCACACUGUCCCCCCAGGACGUCAGCCUGCACUUUGUGCUCUGGGGCUGCCUGCACGUGUACCAGCGCAUGAUCGACAAGGAGGAGGGUCCCACUGACCACAGACUGACCCCAGACUGACCACAACUGACUACACUGACCCAAACUGACCCCACACUGACCCCACACUGACCACACUGACCCCAGACUGACCCUAAACUGACCCCAAACUGACCAGACUGACCACACUGACCACACUGACCCCAGACACAAAAUAAAUCCCAAGUCUUCUGGAUGUCAGAAUAACC
rnacentral:lncRNA from 12 species